GGAGUGAUUCGCCGGCAUGAGACAGACCAAGAUGAACUUCUGGGACGGGAUGGAGCACGCCUUCAUUAUGCCCAGCAUCACCGCUGAAGAGCGAACAGCCAUCUGGGACGCCGUGGCCGGCUACGUUCAAGAACAGCUCUUGCUGCACAAGGGAGUCCGGAUUCCCACGCUCGGCUCCUUCGAUACUGUCCCUAAACAGGUCCAGGUUGGAGAUGAG